UUGGGUAAAAUGGUGGGUCAAACGUCCAUUUUACGGCCGUAUUGUUGGGUCUUUAGUCGAUUGUCGGGUCCCAAAGUCGAUUAUCGGGCACUUGGACCCGACAGUUGAAGACCCACUUAAAAAAAGGCUGCUUAACAUACUCAUGACUAUUUUUAAAUUCAAAUUUGCAUGUGUAAUUUUACUCGAAUUGUCGGGCCUAUAUCUCCCAUUAGCACACAUUAGGUCAAACUCCACACAGCAGUUACUUCCCUUGGGCAUUCGCCAAUCAUUAAUGUCUUUUUCUAGAAUAAGGGAGGCCACUGCGUAUGAGAUUGACCAACCUCGGCGCAGUGAUUUACCGGGAACCAGCAUAGCAACGAACGACAACUCGGCGCCCGACAACUCUGUAAUAUAAAUUGCCAAUUUUCGCGGUUAAACUUAAAAAGAGUCCAUGUCAACUGCUGACAGUGAAGAGCCAGGCAGUCUGACCCAUGAUAGGAGGGAGCCAAGUGAAGAGCCAGCCAGUCUGACCCAUGAUAGGAGGGAGCCAAGUGAAGAGCCAGCCAGUCUGACCCAUGAUUCUUGACAUGACUCAUGGUGAACUAAAAUUGCUUGCAAAGCAUCUGGGACAUGAUGUGAAGACCCACAAGGAAUAUUAUCAGUUGUCUUCCAGUACCAUGGAACUCUCAAAGGUUGCCCUGAUGUUGUAUGCUGUUGAAAAUGGUUAAAGUCAAUGAGUGGAAGGGAAGGCAGAUGAAGGACAUAGUAGUAGAAGAUUUACCUCUUCCAAUUGAAGACGAAGAUGGCCAUCAAGAAG